rnacentral:rRNA from 1 species
GACAGAGGUCCCAAGCGUUGUUCGGAUUCACUGGGCGUAAAGGGUGCGUAGGCGGUCGGGUAAGUCUGGCGUGAAAUCUCCGAGCCUAACUUGGAAACUGCGUUGGAUACUAUCCGGCUCGAGGAAUGGAGGGGAGACUGGAAUACUUGGUGUAGCGGUGAAAUGCGCAGAUAUCAGGAGGAACACCGGUGGCGAAGGCGGGUCUCUGGGCCGAUACUGACGCUGAGGAGCGAAAGCGUGGGGAGCGAACAGG